rnacentral:rRNA from 1 species
UACGUAGGGGGCAAGCGUUGUCCGGAUUUAUUGGGCGUAAAGGGCGCGUAGGCGGUCACGCACGUCCGUUGUGAAAUCGCUCGGCUCAACUGGGCGGGGUCAGCGGAUACGGUGUGACUGGAGCAAGCUAGGGGGCAAUGGAAUUCCCGGUGUAGUGGUGGAAUGCGUAGAUAUCGGGAGGAACACCAGUGGCGAAGGCGGUUGCCUGGAGCUUUGCUGACGCUGAUGCGCGAAAGCGUGGGGAGCGAUCCGG